AUUUACUCACUUGAAAAACACAUACACACAUACACAGAUAUAUUCCACCUGUUGUUUUACUGCAGGUGCCCACAUGAUCAAGGCCUGGCCAGGCUGAAGCCCAGCUUCUAGAGCUCCAUCCAGGAUCCUGGCUGAUUGAGCUGCUGCCUGCCAAGGUGCACAUCACCAGGAAGCUAGGAUUGAGCCUAGAUUGAAGUCCAGGCACUUCCAACAUGUGGUGUUGGCAGCCCAGGUGAAUGGUUUCCAAGUAGUGUAAGACUUCAAGAAAAAUCUUGUGAGGCUCCAAGAAGGUGAAAUGAUUUUUAUUGAACAUCCAGUUGGGCAGCUACCUCUUGGAAUGAACAGCAAGUGCCUUGAACAAAGAGGUGUCUGCUCAAGGAAAUGCCCAGGGCAAAGGAUGUGAUGGAUGUAGGGACUGCUGCAAGACCAGACUGUGACCAUUACAGAGAGUGUGAACAGCUGCAACGAGCCUGUGACCAGGCAAGGUGUGAUCACUGUGGAGCCACCCAGCCUGCGACCAGAGCAUGAUGGGACGACUGUGGAGC